GCAGACACAUUCCAGCCAAUCAGCAGCAGACCCUCCCUCCCAGACCCUCCCACCUUCUGGACAGCUCACUAAGAAUGCAGCUUCACAAUGAAUGUAAAAUGGAUGCUGUCCAGGAGGUGGGAGGGUCUGGGAGGGAGGGUCUGCUGCUGAUUGGCCGGAAUGUGUCUG
rnacentral:miRNA from 1 species